rnacentral:rRNA from 1 species
GACGGCUACCUCACCACGCCGGCCCUUGCCGAAGGGCGCUCGAUCACCGCAGGCAGCACCGUCGGUACGCGUAGUUUAGAAUAACGGACGGACGACGAUCUAAGGAACCUAACGUAGCACUGCUCUAAAAAGGAGAGGAGAGAAAAAGGGGAACACGGGUCGCUCCUCAACUAGGCUCCAAGCACCGAGGGCAGCGAGGCGGGGCAGGGGCAGCGGCCGGCCAAGCAAGAACCAACCACGCAUACGCCGCCUCCCAGACUCCUAACGGCUCGCUCGACCAACACCGGUACCUCGUAGGCUACGUUUCCUCGCUGCUCCCGCCGGACGCGCCGUCGUCGUACGCACGGCCGUACCUGCUCGACCUAGAGUACCUCCUCAAGGACGAGCGCAGCGGGCCCGGUCUGAAGGGGCUCAAGGACGUGGGGCCGCCGCGCAGCGGCUCGGGGAAGAGGGGCGAGAAACUGGAGCCGUCGUGGUAGUGGUGGCGGGGCCGGCCGCCGCCGCUGCUGCUGCCGCUCCUGCCCCUGCUGCUCAGCGCGGCGCGCACCGACUAGGUCGGCGUCCUCCGCGGCCGCAGCCACUUCCUCGCCGACCCCGCGCGCGACGUCCCGUAGCGCAGCGCCAGCGCGCCCCGCCGCCCGCUCGACGACCACGUCCACACCCACGGGUGCGCGUAGCCGCUGGCGGUCCACGAGUGGUGGACGCCGGUCGGGAAGACCGAGCUGGCGGCGUCGCUGGCGGAGCUCUCGAUGGCGUGGCACAGGCAGUUCAUGGUCAAGAGGCGGCUGCUCUGGAGGACGCGGCUCGACCCCGAGGGGCCGGCGCAGAAGCAGCCGGCGCAGGGGCUCACCUGCGGGCUGCACGCGGAGAAGUGGCUGUUGCUCAUGGGCGCGCAGGCGAUGCGCGUCGUGAAGCUGUAGGCGCCGUCGCAGCGGUACGGCCAGAAGCUCGCGGCGUGGCCGCGCACGGAGCCGCAGCAGCUCGAGCAGUACUGGUGGGUCUUCUAGUUGAUGUUGCGGCUCUAGCUGUUGUAAACGUUGCGAGAGUUCCUCCAACUAGAGUCUCCAAGACUACAAAGUUCGCUAGGAGCGCGUGUCCACCAGCUAUGAAGGAUGGCUCGUUAACAUGGUCUCUAGCGCGUACAAGAGUUUCGACAAACACUCUGGGUAUUCAACGGUGACCGGGUCUGUACCUAUGGGACGCAGACGGUCCGGUUUUCCCGCUCGGCGGUGAGGCUGCUUUUUAUGUUCAUGACACAGAGGUGGCACCUGCUUCGCACAAUACAGCCGCUAGGGCGGUACUGACCGAAAGUGGUCCGAACGAGGCUCGUAGUAGACAAGUCCCCACUCCCACAACAGCCGUGCCGCGAGCCCUGUUUACUCGGUACAAAGACGGGUCUGUAAUGACGGAUGUCGUUCCAGGUUAUGGGAGAGAGUGUAAUACGUUUCGAAAAGCCGGAUUCCCGGCGCCACCGUUAAGCCGACGCUUCGCAGUUCUGGCCCUCAUACCUAGAAUAGAACCUUAAAAAGAACGGUUUGUUGACGUAUUUAUCACUUCUCGUUCCCUUGUACGAGUUAAGAGACAGGUUAUGGUAUGUUGUUCGGAGGACAUGUGACGCUCAACAGCCGCACUUUCUUGACCGCUUACUACCUAGCGGACUUUGAUCGAGCGGUUGGGGUGGUCUUCAAACACUGUUCGGACGACUUUAGAACCUACUCGAACGAUCACCGUAACUAUAAGGACGUUCCUGUUGUAGUCACCUACGAAGGCUCCUCCAUAGAAGUACCUAACGUUCGGAACACCUACAAGUCUUAUUACGCCGCGUCCGUCUUUGUCUAACACCGGACGGUAAACCCAAGUCCUUUGUUCUCCUACUUCCCAAAUCACAUUGUCGACCGACCGGUUGAAGUGGCCACGAUCAUGGACUUCUAUUUUCAAAGAAAGGUCCCAAAUUCUUCGUACUUCUUAUACUCCGGUUCCCAAGUGGAAAAAGGUCACUAGCUUCGGAGAGUUUGAGUCUGUUUCGUUAUCUCUUCGCCGCUUGAUUUUAACUCUUUUGCCACUCGGACGUUCUUGAGGCCUUCGUAAAGCGACCAUCAAACUUUCUUCGACGUUUCUUAAAUCCUCACACGGGAUGAUGUAACUUCUCUUAUACGUCUGUAGUACCUUAACUAGCAACCGGUAGUUCCUUCUAGUUCUUUCAACCCGUGAGAGAUUUCUUUAACGUUUACCAGUAACUAAGCCAUGUACCUCGACUUCCUUGUCAAGCCGACUCAAGUGAGAUACUCUUAAAGUGGUUCUGAUGUACCAGUCUUUCUCUUAACGUGCCUCUAGACUCAAUAGGUCGUAGUCUCGUUUUCCAAGUCGACCUCGGAAGUCAAGGACUAGCUGUCACGCUCUCGUCUAAGUCAGGGGUAUGGAGACCGAGAUUAAGGGAGAGUGGGUGGAUGUCGGUCUCGAGUUUAAGAUCGGACCCGACGAGGUCGCUAGGUUUCGGAGUUGUUGUCGUUUCGUCGCGAGGAGUCGAACGCCACUUCGUCCUUAAAAAGUACCUCCUCUUAGUCUCAAGCUGUGUCUACUUUCGACGCUCGGUGCUGCUUGACGUCAAUAAAUGACUUCUCUUUGGACAGUGGGAAACAUCCAGAGUCUCAGUGUACGAUAAGUCACUUGUGUUUGGUUACCGUUUGUACAGUCCGUACGUUCUUCGGUUCGGACUAAGAGAGUUCUAUUUUCGGUACAUACCGCUCCUUUCUACGUAUAAGGCCGAAGUCGGAUCAACCCCGAAACUUUUCGAUUUUCUUCUUUAGCGUUUCGCCAAGCCGUAAAGAGCCCUUUAAAUACUGGAGUUCAUGAACCUACUACUCAGCCUCACCCAAGAAAACUGUACACUACGUCUGGAAGACCUCACAUAGCUACACAUGUUCAGUAGUUCACGAUUUUGUCAAUCCUAGAGACACUUGGGAUGUCAAGUUGGCCGUGAGGCACCAAGGAAGCCAAUUAGGACUGUGACGAAGAAGUUGUAACUUUUGUUGGUGGGGAAGAAGGUUCAAAAGUCAAUACCAUGUCUGGUGGAAACAUUUAUAAACCUCAGACACCUGACACCAGGUAGGUCAUCAGUAUACGAACCACUCAAUAGACAGUCGGACCAGACACUAUUGACUUAUACUGUGAAACAUGAACAUCUGAUCCAGUAUAAGUCGGUAUCCCUUUGAGCAAAUGGCGUCAAUGGUUUGAUCACAUGUCUUAUCCUUUCUUAUCCUUAAACAGCUUUACUUCGAAGCGUAAUCCAGAUCUUGAGUACAAGUCCAAUGGACCGUUUACAUUCAAGAAAGACCCGAACAAACUAGGCAGAACGUUAAGACUUCGUGGAAGUUCCAAAGUCUGUAAGCUUUCGAACGAACUUCCGUACGCGACACCUUAACUCUCUUAAUACAGAGGACGGAAGUGCGCAGUCAAACUCGCAGUACUUCUCAGCUUCUACGUAGGAAUGCCACGACUUUGCGGAAGAGCGAACAUACUCACGUGAGCCUAACAAAACGAGCGACAUUCUUAUGUACGCAGGUAGUUAGAGUAGAGACCAGAGCUUUUUACGUUAGGACGACUAAGUUCUAGUCACGACGAGUACACACUCCGUCCCUCGACAGAUCUGAGGAUCUGUUGGAGCCCGGCUGCUACCACGUACGUAUUAUCCUACUAUCCUCUACAAAAUAAAAGGAGGGAAAAAAACAAACUCUUGUUGCCUUACGAUCUCAAAAAAACCACCAUAAUGAAAACAUAUUAUUAAUGAGCCCUAAUGUGGACAUGUGGAACGAAGUCUUUAGGUAUUGUACAUACGUUGUCAGACACUAACGAAUAUCUGACUACAAAGAAGAGG